GACGUAGGAGGCGAGCGUUAUCCGGAUUCACUGGGCGUAAAGCGCAUGUAGGCGGUUGCACAAGUCCGUUGUUAAAGCCCCUGGCUCAACUGGGGGAGGUCAAUGGAGACUGUGCGACUUGAGGGCAAUAGAGGCACGUGGAACUCCCGGUGUAGCGGUGGAAUGCGUAGAGAUCGGGAAGAACACCAGUGACGAAGGCGACGUGCUGGGUUGCACCUGACGCUGAGAUGCGAAAGUGUGGGGAGCAAACGGG
rnacentral:rRNA from 1 species